GUAAAAAACCCAAUUACCAAAACAUUGACUCAAUUAGAAGAUUGCUAAGGCAAGUUGAAAUAGACCAUUGGCUCAAGUGUUGUUAUUGGGAAAGCCAGUUAAUAAAUGUUUGUACAAUUAUUCAUAAAAAAUAUUGAGUCAGGUGAUAAAUUGUUGUUGGGUGAACGCCCACAAUGGCUGAUAUUGACUCAACUAACAUACAGUAAUUGAGUGAAUGGAUUGGACAAGUUUUGCAUUUGUUGACUGAACAAAUGUGGGCGGCGUCAUUUGCGGUAAUGAACUUCGAGCAAAGGAAGUACGGCAAAGCCACAAAGUUUGUCGACACGGCCUCACGGAGGGACGAGGAGUGACAGGUGAGCAACACUGUGCGUUUGCUUAUUAACAUUGUCAAUCUCUGAAACCAGAGUCAAAAGAAAUUUGUUUUUCUGUGGAAUCUGUUCUUGGGGGACUGUAACAUUUUUUGCUUGCUAGCUAGCCAGUUAGCUUGGGUAGCCGGGCAGCUAACUUACAUAUUACCCCUCUAAUUCAUAAGGUCAAUGUUUAGCCAGCUAACAAGCCAACAGCAUUAGCCGUCUAACAGCGCCCGAGGCCCCACGAGCAGCACGUCCGCACGUUAGCCAAACCCGCGGGGCAGGGUUUAGCUAAAGCUAGCUCCGGUCCCGCGAGCGGCACGUCCGCCCGUAAGCCUGCUAGCUGACGCUUGCUCCGGUCCCGCGAGCGGCACGUCCGCCUGCUAGCUGACGCCUAGCUCUUGUCCCGCGAGCGGCACGUUCGCCCGUUAGCCGGCUAGCUGACACUCGCCCCGGCGUGGGCAUAGCAGCGCCUCUGUGCGACAGCUGUUGGCGGACGAACGCCGUCAGCUCGUUGGCCAGCUCGCUCUAGCAUAGAUUUAUAAUAUGGUUUUGCCUGGUAAACAGCCUAGCAAGCUAACCAUCAGUCGGGAAGCAAACGUCUCGGCGGGAAAGCUAGCUUUGAAGGCUUUAAUAAGGUCAGCUUUUCUAGCAUUUGUAUUUAUAUCAAUACUUGCUCUGGAAGUAGCUGUAAUCCUGUCAUUCUCAAACCACUGGGUUCCCUUAACUCUGACAAAGUACAAAUUGAACUAAAUGGACCCCAGUCCCAUUAAAGUUGUUUGAAUAUAUAACGGUAUAAUGGACGAUGUUUUAGCCAAUGAAUGGCGUGAUGCGAGCGUCAACUAUUGGUCCUCUGACAUGUCAAUCACGCUGAAGAAAUGCUUGCGUCACGCCGUCAAGCGCGCUCGUCGGAGCAGCAGAGCAGGUAGGACGGUCUGGCGCAUGCGCGUUUUUCAAAAAGCGAGUAACAGACGUUUGGCUUCGACUUUAUCGAGAAAAUCCUCCAUUAUACCUUUAAGGAAAACACUUUUUCCUAACUUGUAAGGGUCAUUUCACAGUCUCCUAAAGCAGUGGCUCCCAAACCUUUUUGCCUGUGACCCAAAGGGGAAUUAUGACAUUUGCCAGGACCCAAACUAGUGAAAACAACAGAUCUACAAGCCCACAACACAUCAUGAAAUAAAUUGGCUGUGCCGUUCUUUGGCUUCCAUCUUAACUUUUUAUUUUGGCAUCUCUCUACUCAGGGCAGUUUCUUCUGUUUGACACAGUUUCUUCUCAUUGACUUGCACUACCCUGUAAAUAUCUGUCGCAUAUCUAUAGUUAUGUAUCUUCUCCCUCAGACGAAAGGAGGUCGUUGCUGAAGAUGUGCAUGUCUCCACAAUCAGCCAGAGAUGGCCAGCCCUAUUCUUGUUGGAUCAGGUACAUGCAGAAUUCAGAAGAGUAACAGGAAAAGAAUUGAUGGAAACGUUCUUCCCCUCCUUGGAUGAGCACACCAGAGCUCCGCACCGCAGCUCACCACCCCACUCAAGUGACACUAAGGAGUCUGUUGGAGUACCGAGACGAGCAGACCACAGAGAUCGUUAAACAUCGGAGGGUGGAGACUGUCAAAGGGCUGCAGUAUUACCUGGGGGAGAAAACCGAGCUUUUCAAGACCUGCCAG